UGGAAUUAUAUGCAAGAUGGGGACACCUGAAAAAGAAAUCAUUUUCUACUUCAGUGCUCUGUUCGCCAUAGUAUAAGAAAACAUGGUAUAACCACAUAAUACAGCGAACUUCAAAUUAAAUAGUGUGAACUUCUACUGAGAGAGAAAAUAAGAGUUCUGUCCCACUAGCUACUUAUUUGGUAUAAGCAUCAAUGCUGCUAACAGGAAGUUAUAAAAACAGAAUGAUUAUAACUUGGUAAUGGAUGAAGUUGUUCUUCACAUCUUUAUAAAAACUUCAGGUUUUCAGUUUCUUAGAUAUGAACACACUAAUAGAGUAAAUAUCUUGUUAUCCCAGUUCUAACAAAGGAUGGAUGGCACAAGAACCCCUAAGAAAGUCCUAAAUGCUAAGUAUGAAGGGACAAGAACAGUAGGAAGACCUAGAGGAAGAUGGGAAGAUGCUGUGAGACGGGAUGCUGCCAGUCUGAUCCAAUGUCGAAAUUGGAAAAUGGCCGCAAAUAAUAGAUCUUCAUGGAGGCAGAAAAUUGAGGAGGCCAAGGCCCGAUAUGGGCUGUAGAGCCAUUGGAUGGAUGGAUGGAUCCCAGUUCUAAAAAAAUAUUGUAACAUUUCACUGUAUUAAUCAGUGUUUUGAGCAGAGAUGGCUUAGUCAAUAUGGUGACUAGUUACAUGCUGGAUGACUGGUUUUGAUUUCUGGCACGGAUUCUCUUACCAUUUGCAGCUGCAUUCAGACCAGCACUCAGGCCACCGAACUUCAUAUCCAAUGGAUGUGAGAGGCCAAUUCCUCACAAGUAUCGAUUUCAAGGGUUAAAUGCAGGGACUUUACUUUUUAAAUGCAGAAAGAACCUGUUAUACAAUUUGGAUUCAAGCAGAAUGC